rnacentral:rRNA from 1 species
UAGGGAAUAUUGGGCAAUGGGCGCAAGCCUGACCCAGCCAUGCCGCGUGCAGGAAGAAGGCGUUCUGCGUUGUAAACUGCUUUUAUAUAGGAAGAAACGACCCUUGCGAGGGGCAUUGACGGUAUUAUAUGAAUAAGCACCGGCUAACUCCGUGCCAGCAGCCGCGGUAAUACGGAGGGUGCAAGCGUUGUCCGGAUUUAUUGGGUUUAAAGGGUGCGCAGGUGGUUUAUUAAGUCAGUGGUGAAAGACGGUCGCUCAACGAUUGCAGUGCCAUUGAUACUGAUAGACUUGAGUAAAGUAGAGGUGGGCGGAAUUGAUAGUGUAGCGGUGAAAUGCAUAGAUAUUAUCAAGAACUCCGAUUGCGAAGGCAGCUCACUUGGCUUUUACUGACACUCAUGCA